GACAGAGGUGCCGAGCGUUAGGCGGAAUCACUGGGCUUAAAGCGUGUGUAGGCGGAUCGUUAAGUACCUUGUGAAAUCCCACGGCUUAACCGUGGGACUGCUGGGUAUACUGGCGAUCUUGAGGUGCUCAGGGGCGAGCGGAACAGAUGGUGGAGCGGUGAAAUGCGUAGAUAUCAUCUGGAACGCCUGCGGUGAAAACGGCUCGCUGGGAGCAAUCUGACGCUGAGACACGAAAGCCAGGGGAGCGAACGGG
rnacentral:rRNA from 1 species